rnacentral:lncRNA from 1 species
GGCUAGAUGAGGCCAUAUGUAUACAUAUCUACAGACUGUGUAUGUGGAGUUAAGACCUGUCUCAGUGCACCAGUAACUGAUGCUGGGAGAUGAAUGGCUUAGCGCUGUUCUGCUUGGAACACAUCACUCCUGCCAGCCGGGCACUAACAAUUAUCAUCCAAUCCAGGACUUAAACUGUGAUAGAGUGGCUGAUAGAGUGUCCCAAAAGAUGGGACCACUGGUCAGCUGCCAUGGACUAGAUUCUCCACCGGUUGGGGACAAUCUGGUCACCUUGCUGCCCAAUCCGGACCUGGAGCCACCACAGCACGAGUGUCAAACACUGACAGAAGCACAUGGGUGGAGGAAAGACCUCUACAACUGGCUGAUUGACCCCUGCUGAAAGUGGAGGCUACCUUGCCCACAGACGAGAACAGUUCUCUUCAUAAAGGUCAGAGAUAAGUGGGUGCUGCCGUGGUGGACAAAACAAUGUCAUCUGGGAUGGCUGAACCCCAACCCCCCAGCACAUCAGCGCCACAGAUGCCUUUGCCAUCUCUUAAGAUGCCCUGAUGAAGCCAACAACUGUGAGUACUAUUCAUUGCUCAGGAUAUCAGGAGGGAAGACAUUCAGUGACAUGGGACAGUAACAAAACAGAUAAAGUGGCUCGGGAAAUGGCUAUACAGGAGCCUAUCCUGGUUACAGGCCUACAAGAGACAGCCACUGGGAACUGGGAUUUGACUAAGGGAUGGCCUCACUUAGAAUAUACAACAGAAGAAAAGGCCCAAGUUGUUUAAAAGAUAAAAGGACAAUGACACACUUGGGGAGAAAGCUAUACCCCCCAAAGAACAAACAAAAGACUCACUUUGUCAAAAAAAAAAAAAAAGACUCAUUUAAGAGAUAAGAAGUUUGUCCAAAUAGUUAAAAUAUAUGUAAUAGACUUUAAGAUUUUAGCCAAGAGAGACAGUAAAAAAUAUAAGAUAUGUCAGUAAGUAAAUGCUUAACAAACAAACAAGACAAAGAGACCUAGAGAGUUUAAUAAAAAGUCAAAAUAAACUUCACUGAGAUAAAAUCAGAAAAAUAUAAUCACAAGUAUCUCCUAGUGCUUGUAGAUACUUUUUCAGGAAUAGAUAAAAGCUUUCCUCACCAAACGAGAGACGGCCUCUACAAUCAUCAAGAAGAUACUAGAAGAAAUCUUCCCUAGGUCUGGAAUGCCCAAGGUAAUCUGGUCAGACAACGGCCCUACUUUCGUUGCCAAGGUAAGCCAGGGUGUGGCCAAGUAUUUAGAGGUCGAUUAGAAAUUACAUUAUAUUUACAGACCUCAAAGUUUAAGACAGGUAGAAUAAAUAAAUAGAACUCUAAAAGAGACCCUAAACAAAUUGACCAUGGAGACUGGCGCAGACUGGGUGACACUCCUUCCCUCUUGCUCUCUUCAGAGCAAGAAAUACCCCUUCCAGAUUCAGCCUUACCCCCUUUGAGAUCUUAUCUGGGGCCUCAGCUCCUCUGACUGUAUUAGAUGAUGUUACUGAACCAACAUGUCAUAGUGCCAUAGUAAUAAUGAUUUGUGUGC